rnacentral:lncRNA from 7 species
GACCGUUGACGAUGUCGUUGUAGAUACAAACACGUACGGUACCUUCCACGAGUGGUGAUGGGCCUCAUUUGGAGGGAGUACUCGAACUUCUGUUAUAUCUGGCCUCUCUUAACGGAUAAUAUUAACUGCAUCUAAAACCGGGAAGCCAACCAAACCGGGCCAUGUUUCGGGUGUUAAACCAAUCUUGAUUGCCUCCAUCUAUCAGCGUAUUAUCCUCUUGUUUUCUGACUUCUGAAGCUGUUAUAAUUGUAACAAGCAUCAAUAAUCAAGACAAACAUACACAAUCAAAAGAAACACAAAUAAUUUAAAAAUGUAAUUCUAUCAUUUUGGCAUGCAUUGACAUGAUAUUAUGGUAGCCAUCAUUCCAUUAUACUAAGCACUUGUCAUAAACCAAUGUAUUACUAUAUACUAGUCGAGCACGUAAUAAGACCAACAAAUAUUUACAACAAAAUUGAUAUAAGCACCGACUAACAAAAGGUAGAUGCCUACCUGCAAAGAAGGAAGUAGCCUGUAUAUGGAGAUGGUAUGUGCUCUAUGUAUGUCACUGUAUAUAUAGACUGUCACUAUUUGUAUAACAUAUCAUCUCGUUGAU